rnacentral:rRNA from 1 species
GAAGGGGAGCUAGCGUUGUUCGGAAUCACUGGGCGUAAAGCGCACGUAGGGCGGAUUUGUUAGUCAGGGGGGGUGAAAUCCCGGGGGCUCAACCUCGGAACUGCCUUUGAUACUGCAAGUCUGGAGUCCGGAAGAGGUGGGUGGAAUUCCCUAGUGUAGAGGUGAAAUUCUUAGAUAUUAGGAAGAACACCGGUGGCGAAGGCGGCCCACUGGUCCGGUACUGACGCUGAGGUGCGAAAGCGUGGGGAGCAAACAGGGAUUAGAUACCCUGGUAGUCCACGCCGUAAACGAUGGAUGCUAGCCGUCGGCAAGCUUGGCUUGUCGGUGGCGCAGCUAACGCAUUAAGCAUCCCGCCUGGGGAGUACGGCCGCAAGGUUAA